GAUUGCUCAUAUGAGCUAUGUCUAAGCUGAUGCCAAGAACUUCGGAGAGGCAUGUUUCCAGGAAAGAGUUGUAAAGCAGUUUACAAAUAUUCAGAUAGAGGCUGUUAUUACAUGCACAGUGGAGAGCCACUUCCUGAAAGUUUUCAUAAUAUGGAAAUUCCACAGGACCAGAACAAACCAAUUUCAUGGGUUGCUAAUUGUGAUGGUUAUAUCAUUUGUACUCCUGUCGAAAUGGGUGGAUGUGGAAAAUACAUUUUAGAGCUCAAGCAUCUGCUACCAAGAAACUGGAUAUCAACCUUAAAGCAAAAGCAGAAAGGAUUCUGAUUCAAUGCAAUUUUUCCCAGAUGACUUCCCUGCCGAUUUGUAGAACAGAUGACCCUCAACAGUUACACAGGGUGGCUUCAAGAGUUGGUUCCGAUGAUAACUGCUUAUAUUCCACUACUGCAAAAGACGUUAUGGUGGAUGAAUGAUGAUGCACUUCUACACUUCCAUAAAAAUGAUGAUGCACUUCUACACUUCCAUAAACACUGGGCCUAGGGUGAACCGAUGAUUUUACGAAAUGUGCUUGAGCAUACAAGCGAUUUAAGCUGGGAACCAAUGGUUAUGUGGCGUAAGAAGAAACAGAAGUUCACUGUUAUAAAGUUAUUGAAGCUUCAAUCAGGGGUAAAAAGGCAAAAUAGAUUUCCUUGUGGAGAUUUAAAAAUUAGGUUUACACUUUGAAUAUUCUCUGUGCCAGCUGUUGAUAAUGCCACACUACAAAGAAGAAAUAUUUUUCCAUUAUGUAAAUAGUAUGUCAUAUAAAUAUGCAAUGUAAAUAAUACAAUUAUAAAUGAACGUUUGUCAAUCAUAAAA